rnacentral:rRNA from 1 species
CUAACACAUGCAAGUCGAGCGGAAACGACACUAACAAUCCUUCGGGUGCGUUAAUGGGCGUCGAGCGGCGGACGGGUGAGUAAUGCCUAGGAAAUUGCCUUGAUGUGGGGGAUAACCAUUGGAAACGAUGGCUAAUACCGCAUGAUGCCUACGGGCCAAAGAGGGGGACCUUCGGGCCUCUCGCGUCAAGAUAUGCCUAGGUGGGAUUAGCUAGUUGGUGAGGUAAUGGCUCACCAAGGCGACGAUCCCUAGCUGGUCUGAGAGGAUGAUCAGCCACACUGGAACUGAGACACGGUCCAGACUCCUACGGGAGGCAGCAGUGGGGAAUAUUGCACAAUGGGCGAAAGCCUGAUGCAGCCAUGCCGCGUGUAUGAAGAAGGCCUUCGGGUUGUAAAGUACUUUCAGUUGUGAGGAAGGGUGUGUAGUUAAUAGCUGCGCAUCUUGACGUUAGCAACAGAAGAAGCACCGGCUAACUCCGUGCCAGCAGCCGCGGUAAUACGGAGGGUGCGAGCGUUAAUCGGAAUUACUGGGCGUAAAGCGCAUGCAGGUGGUUCAUUAAGUCAGAUGUGAAAGCCCGGGGCUCAACCUCGGAACUGCAUUUGAAACUGGUGAACUAGAGUACUGUAGAGGGGGGUAGAAUUUCAGGUGUAGCGGUGAAAUGCGUAGAGAUCUGAAGGAAUACCAGUGGCGAAAG